rnacentral:rRNA from 1 species
GACAGAGGCCUCAAGCGUUAGGCGGAAUCACUGGGCUUAAAGCGUGUGUAGGCGGAUCGUUAAGUGCCUUGUGAAAUCCCACGGCUUAACUGUGGAACGGCUGGGCAUACUGGCGGUCUUGAGCCAUCUAGGGGCGACUGGAACAAACGGUAGAGCGGUGAAAUGCGUAGAUAUCGUUUGGAACGCCAAUGGUGAAAACAGGUCGCUGGGGAUGAGCUGACGCUGAGACACGAAAGCCAGGGGAGCAAACGGG